rnacentral:ncRNA from 1 species
UGAUAGCGUUGAAGCGUGAGGUUGCUGCGGGAUUCCGCAGGUUUUCCGUGGAGCGAAUGUCAAGUUUAAAAACUGGCGACAA